rfam:Dipodomys ordii contig_21833, whole genome shotgun sequence.
GGUGGCUCAGUGGUAGAGUGCUUGCCUUGCAUGCAGGAGGCCCUGGGUUCGAUUCCUCAGCACCA